GAGCACAAGCCUCCCCAUCGGGCACCGGGCCCAAGCUAGGCUGCCGGCGUCGAGGACCAGAGUGAGGACCGCAGCGCUCGUAGGACUGAUCGGCUUCUCCC